rnacentral:lncRNA from 1 species
CUUUGGCUGGAGCACAAGAGAGGGGAGACCUGAGGCUGGAGAAUCAGGCAGCUGGUCUUGGGGGGCCUGGGGUACUGUGGGACUGCCUAGGACUUGGGAGCCACUGAAGGCCAGCCUGCUGGAAGACCUGUAACCCAGGGGAGAGGUGUGUGCAGAGCCAGUUUCUCCAGGAAACCGGGAGCAGAAGGGCAAGGGAAGCCCAAACUCCUCCCCUUUGCCAGUUCAGAGAACACGAAACGUACCCUGGAGGCCCAUGCCUUCCCACACACUCUCUGAGUGAACACUAUCCACAGACGUGCUGAGGUAUUGCUACCCCUCCUCCUGGCAGCACCGGGAGGACCAGGCCAGUCGA